rnacentral:rRNA from 1 species
UGCCAGCCGCCGCGGUAAUACGGAGGGUCCAAGCGUUAUCCGGAUUCAUUGGGUUUAAAGGGUCCGUAGGCGGGCUUUUAAGUCAGAGGUGAAAGCCUACAGCUUAACUGUAGAAUUGCCUUUGAUACUGGAAGCCUUGAGUAUAGUUGAAGUGGGCGGAAUACGUCAUGUAGCGGUGAAAUGCAUAGAUAUGACGUAGAACACCGAUUGCGAAGGCACUUUACUGGGCUAUUACUGACACUCAGAGACGAAAGCUAGGGUAGCAAAUGGGAUUAGAUA